CAUCCACCGACCUGUUUGCCCGGUAGGCAAACUGGAGGGGACCAGUGAUGUCCUUCAGGUGGCUCAACACUAGCCUCGCAAAGGAUUUCAUGACCACAGAUGUCAGGGCGACAGGUCUGUAAUCAUUCA